AAAACUUAUGGCACAGGUCUCCUUCCAAGGCGAAAACUUUGGAGGUCACGGAGCCCGAGCCCACCACGACGGGGUGCUGUGCCACCUCGGGGGGCCCUCCGCGACAACUCCGCCGACAAACUAACUUCUGCCCGAGGGCGGCCGGGCUCCGUGGGGCGCCCCGGGGAGAGGAAGGGAGCGGGCAAGACGGCGGCCACCCCCCAUCCCCGGGAGCAGGGUGCCAGCCCUUACCUCGGCGCACCCCCUUUCUCCGCUCCGGCACGGCAGCAUAGAGGCAGGGCAAGGGGAGCUGCCGGCGGCUCUCCCUGCGCCUCCCUGCUCCUCGGAGAAGCCCUUCCCCCCCCCUCGCUCUCCCCCUCUCCCGCCCAGCUUUGGGGCACACACACAGAUCUAUUUUUAAGGAGCACGGAGGAGCAACCGCGGGGAAGCUGGGUUGGAAGAAGCAAAACCCUGACGCGCUUGAGGGAAGGACGGAGGCUGCAGUAUUCUGAGGCUAUCAAAGGGAGAACCAGCACCUCAAACAUCCACCUCAUAUGUUUAUAACAUCAAGCAAAGAAAGAAGAAGCCACAAAGGACAUUGAAAAACAGAAGAGCAUAAAUAAGUCUUCAACUGUUCUUGUGCAUCAACAAUAAUUCUUGUAAGAGAAAAAAUUGAAGGCAGAUUUGGUUCUUGUGUAGAAACUACCUUGAACACUUUAAAAGGCUUCCUCUGAGUCACUAUGAAUAGUGAUGAUUCCCCAGACCCUGUAACAGUUUUAUCUGAUUUUUCAUACUGAAUAUUAAGCAAAGAUUGGCAAUAGAAAAUGGCCCAGAAGAUGAGAAAAAUGCCAUUAUUGAAGACAAAGUGUGUGGCACUUCAACAUGAUAGCCUUUGAUUUUCAUAGUGGGCAGUUAUGCAAGAGAGAUCACCAGAGAAGGCUUUGGUCCAGAACUCCUACCGGCCUGUUCUCUACACCUAGUUAAUAUACUGGUCUUAUGCUAAUAUCUUUGAACAAAAUUAGAUACGUUUACAAAUAUAGGCUGGGAUCAACCUAAGGCUGAUGGUUUGAAACUGUACCCAAAGCCACAGGAAUUGGUUUAAAACAAUUAGUUUAGCUCUGGUACACAGAACUGUGAGGAGGGAAAUUCCGCUCUUAAGAUCUUUCAACACCAGCCAGCUCCCCGGAGACUCCCAGAUGUGCAGUUUUGUGGGACUUUAAUCCUGCUCAAGGAAGUUUAUUUGUGCAUUUCACAAUAUUACAUGUCAUUUGCAUAAAAAUGUUAGGAAAAGAAUGUUAUUUCAGUGGUCAGUGUGUGAUUUAGUAAACAAAGAUGAAAAGGUUCUUCUGACUUUUUCUGUGUUAAACUGCCUGAGCUUCAAACCCCAUUUUCAAUUAGACAAAAAUGCUAGUGUUUACGGAUUAGGUAUUGAUACAGGAAUGCAAAUGACUUCACAGGAUGACAGUUUAUUAUAAGUCAAUGGUUGAACUCUCCUGGGAAAAAUUACUAGAUGCUCUGCCAGUGAUUAAAACUAUGGAACAUUUUCACAACUGUUUGUAUAGAAAGAAGCUUGUGAUUGGAACAGACUGGGCAAUCCCAGAAGUGGCUCUUUGGAUUUGAAAUUGGAGGGGCAAUUCCCUUUAACCACAGAUUGGAAAAACUGCAGUGCUAUGGUUUUGUAGUAGCCCAAAAGCAUUGGUUCAGGCUUAACAUUGAUUGCUAUUGAUGUUUUGUUCAGAUAGGUUCAUUGUGGGAUUGAUUCCAAAUGCCAGUCUAAACAAGCAAGGAGCAAAGAACUGAUUGCUCAGGGGAAUGAGCGUGUUUGGGAAGAGAUGAUUGUUUCCUCCCUUCCUAUAUCUUGCAGCAGUUCAAAUCCAGUAAAACAGUGGCUACAAGUAUUCUCAAGAAACCAAGUCAUUCCCAUGGCAAGAACCUGAUAUCAGAGCACCAUGCAACUGGCAACAGCUAUCUUGAAGUAUAGUCUCUCCCUUAGCUUACCUCAGUGAGAACUCUCUGUUCACACUGUGAUGGCUUGGGGUUUGAAAUGCAAUUUGGUAAAGAAGAUGGGAAGAAAGCAGUAGGUGAUAAGCUUUAUUGGCUGGUUUUAGAUCAACGGAAAAAGAAGGCUGUAGUGUAAUGUCAUCAUUUGAAAAUGGCUGGAGGUUUGAUAAUGGUUGAGGGGUUACAACAUGGUACAAUUUCUAUUACAAAAGAUACACAAUAGAUGUAGAAAAAGUGUCCAGGAAACAAGUAACAAGGAAAAUCUCUGGGAGGCAAUAUUUUGCCAAGCAGAUCACAUGAAUAAGUACACAUGAAUAAGGAGUAGCAAUUUUUGUUUGAUUGGGGUUUUUAAACUGGUUCACAACGUAACAACCAUUGUUUGGGAAGGCAUUAUCAGGGCCCUGCAUGCAGUAAUAAGUCUUAAUGACCCUGACUAGCAUCACCUGUGGCCUCCACCCCACACUCAUGGAGCCAGGAGCUCUAUUUAAGCUAAGCCUUGGGCCUUCAACUUUUGUAUGAGCUAUAUUGGAGCGGUGGUAGGUCACAGCCAUGCUGGGGAGCUGCUUGAUUGCUCUGUGCCUUAAUUUAUGUGCUGCCUUGAUCUGGGGUCUGGUUUUUCUACGUGGGCCUGCCUAGUCAUUGCUGGAUGUGAUUUUUUUUUUAUUUUUUGGGGGGGACCUGGCCACUGUCUCUGGAUUUGCCCUGCAACAUUGUCCUUUAGGUACUGUGGGUUGGGCUCUGGUUAAUCUGGUUAAUGAGGUCACUGCACUGGUGGCACUGGGAUCCCCACUGGCUUGUGGCUCACCUUCCUUUGGAGAACAGCCCUGCUCUGCUUCUCCCUGGCAGAAAUGAAGCGGAACAGGCUGUAGCAGAGAAAAUGAUUUAGAUUUGGAAUUUGGGGGUGAGAUAUAUGUGGGUCAGGGAAGAAAUUAUGAAUCAUAUGUGUUUCUGUAGACUUGUAGAACUAGAGGAAAUCUAUUAAGUAACUACUAUUUCAGUGAACAAACUUAUGAUAAGAUAGCAGAGAAAAUCAGAGUAGAUGCUGGCUUUCUUAUCCCUCACAGGCAUGAAUUAACAUUUUUUAUUCCUUCUAAACUAGUAAGAAGUGCAGGCUCUUUAUCCUUGGGGGUUAGAGAUUUCUGCAAGUCUUCUGCCUGGUAUUCCUGUAGACUAACAGUUCUUUUGGUCACUUAGAAGCUUUGAGUUGCAAAAGGGAAACCAAAGUGUCACAUGCCUCCUGGGUUAUAUCUGAAGACAGCCUUGGAUAACUGGGACUAAGUAAUAGUAAUGCUUCUACUUUGUGAGCCAUGAGUAGUACGUCCUCAGACUGGGGGUUGUGCUGGGACAAGGCCUGGAUUACACCAGCUCUUCUACAUAACCAUUUUCAUUCAGUGAUUCAAAGGAAGCUUAGGCACAUGGACUAGGAUGGAAUCCCCCAACUGGAGAGAUGGGGACUGCCGAGUGGGCCAUAGAUCAGACUUUUUCAGUAGCAACAGUACUGCUGAAACAAAGAUCAUUUGUUAGACACCUCUUGAGUGCUGUUCAGUUUCACUGGAUCUAAGGUAGUUCCUGAGUUUCUGGCAAAAUUGUAGACAAUUGUGUCCUCCCUACAGAGUAAAUCACAGAUGGAACUACUUGGAACUGGGAGUUUGAGCCUCUAUUGAUGCUUUGUGAAGUCAAUGCUUGUUUUAGCUGUGGUAAUCACUGAGCAGCUGAAUGGUUUGGGGAACCAAACCAUUUGGGGUUCAGAAGAAUUCCUGAAAAAUAUCUCUGUUAAAUUUGAUUUGGACUGAAGUCAAAUCCUAAAAGUCCAUUUAAACUUCUACUGAACCACAAAUCCUGCAUUUGGACCAGAUCUAUUGGAAAACUUAAAGUGAAUAAACCUUGGGUAGGUCUGUAUGUAAAACUGAUGUGAAUACAAACAAUGUCAUUGAAGAUAAUUUGGGGGUCAGUCUUUGAAAUAACUUAUCUGUUGUGCCCAACUGAGGGUAUUUCCAGGGUUAAGAUUAUCUCCUUCCCUUUCUACCAACAGAAAAUGGAGAGAAUACCUGUCAGCCUCAAAAUUGCAAAAGCUGCUUGUAUCCAGUAGGAUACAAUGCAUGGGGUGUGUCAGCUAGCAACUUCUACCCACACAACAGAUGCUGUUCAGGGGCCCAUUGUAAGAGAUGCCUCCAAGGAGCCUGAAAAAACCUGCAUAAGGAGUGGAAAGCUCCCAAAAGAGAUGCAAUGAGGUGUAAUUGGUUUGGAGUAGUACAUGAGCACAUGGGAACAUCGGAAUAGAAAGACAGGAUAGUCUCUUAAUUAUAUAAUUUAUCUUUCUUCUAUGAAGACUCUCUUACUUCCUUUUGGAGGUAGCUUAAAGGUGUCACACUAUCCUAAACUGCAGUGAUGAGUAAAUAAGUUAGUGACAUGUGGUUAUGUACUGCCUUGAUUAUUAUCCUAAUUACUGUCUCUUCUGUAAGUUGUAAGAAGCUGUAAAGCUUCCUCGUGACAUUGCAACAGGUGAUGGAACUUCAAAAUUCAAUGUCCAGAGUCAAAGAUAUAAAAAGCUGCUCAGGAAUUCACAAUCUGCAGCCACAGUCUUCAGUGGGAAUCUCUUUGAAAGGAGUGCUGUAUGUGUGUGUGAAAAAUAUAGAAGAGAAAGCUUAAGUGUAAAAUGAACAAGCACUGGGACUCUGGUUAUUACAAAAAGCUAAAGGAGCAUUUUUCAGCUGAAUACUGUGCCAGAUGACUGAGUUGUGAACUGAGACAGUCUCUUCCUAUUUGAGUACUUUCUUGUUCAAACAAAUGAGAUGACAUCAGGAAAACAGCUGACUCCACCAAACAGAUUCUGCGCCUACUGGAACAACCUGCAAUGCCCAGAGUGGUGACUCAGCAG
ensembl:lncRNA